rnacentral:rRNA from 1 species
UUCAUUGUAUGUAUCUUAUUGACCACUGCACUCCAGCAUCCAUGUAUUCCUGCUUUGAUCGCUAGACUAUUUCUCACGCAGCAACAUUAGGGACCGAUUAAUUCGGAGUAAAAUUCUGUGUGCAUAUUGAUUAUGACGAUAUGUUGAAAGGUCUUGACUAACUACGUGCCAGCAGUCGCGGUAAUACGUAAGAGACCAGUGUUAUUCAUCUUAAAUGGGUUUAAAGGGUACUUAGACGGAAAUUUUAGCCAAAGCGGUACAUUUUUUCUAGAGUUUUAUAUAAUAGGGUAUUACGAUAAAAUGCAGGGAUGAAAUCCUUUGAUACCUAGGGGACUGGUAAGGGCGAAGGCAAACUUUUAUUUGAAGGCUGACGUCAAAGGUCAAUAGCAUGGUUCACUACCCUGAUUAUGUACGCAGAAAGUUAUUGCUGUAAAUUAUGAAUGUCAUAGAUUAGGUUACGUAUAUACACGUGUAUCUAGGUGUGAGUGGUGGGUAGAAAUAAAAUAAUGUAUUAAUUGUAUAACCUUCCAUUAAAGGAAGGUUAAGUAUCGUUGCGACCUGGGUAUUUUUUAUAAAUGAAAGUGUAAGCAUUUCACCUCAAGAGUAGUGUGUGGGAUGCAGGAAACUAAAAAGUAGUGAUGCAGUGAGCCGAAGAUGUAGUGGAGAUCAAUGUUGC